GACGAACGCUGGCGGCGUGCUUAACACAUGCCAGUCGAACGGAAAGGCCCGGCUUUUGUGGGGUGCUCGAGUGGCGAACGGGUGAGUAACACGUGAGUAACCUGCCCUUGACUUUGGGAUAACUUCAGGAAACUGGGGCUAAUACCGGAUAGGAGCUCCUGCUGCAUGGUGGGGGUUGGAAAGUGUCGGCGGUUGGGGAUGGACUCGCGGCUUAUCAGCUUGUUAGUGUGGUAGUGGCUUACCAAGGCUUUGACGGGUAGCCGGCCUGAGAGGGUGACCGGCCACAUUGGGACUGAGAUACGGCCCAGAAUCCUACGGGAGGCAGCAGUGGGGAAUAUUGCACAAUGGGCGGAAGCCUGAGGCAGCAACGCCGCGUGCGGGAUGACGGCCUUCGGGUUGUAAACCGCUUUCGCCUGUGACGAAGCGUGAGUGACGGUAAUGGGUAAAGAAGCACCGGCUAACUACGUG
rnacentral:rRNA from 1 species